CUACGGAGGGUGCAAGCGUUAUCCGGAUUCAUUGGGUUUAAAGGGUGCGUAGGUGGGUCUGUAAGUCCGUGGUGAAAUCUCCGAGCUUAACUUGGAAACUGCCAUGGAUACUAUAGGUCUUGAAUAUUGUGGAGGUCAGCGGAAUAUGUCAUGUAGCGGUGAAAUGCUUAGAUAUGACAUAGAACACCAAUUGCGAAGGCAGCUGGCUACGCAUAUAUUGACACUGAGGCACGAAAGCGUGGGGAUCAAACAGGAUUAGAUACCCUGGUAGUCCACGCCCUAAACUAUGGAUACUCGACAUACGCGAUACACUGUGUGUGUCUGAGCGAAAGCAUUAAGUAUCCCACCUGGGAAGUACGAUCGCAAGAUUGAAACUCAAAUGAAUUGACGG
rnacentral:rRNA from 1 species